CGCCUCUUGCAUUCUAUGUAUAAGAGGUCCCGCCUGCCCUGUGACUAUGUGUUUAACGGCCGCGGUAUUUUGACCGUGCAAAGGUAGCGCAAUCACUUGUCUUUUAAAUAAAGACCUGUAUGAAUGGCAUGACGAGGGCUUAACUGUCUCCUUCUCCCGGUCAAUGAAAUUGAUCUCCCCGUGCAGAAGCGGGGAUAUUAUUAUAAGACGAGAAGACCCUGUGGAGCUUUAAAUGAUGAGAGAUUUUAUGCAACAAACCUAAAAAGGUAUAAGCGAAUUUAUACUCCCUCUAAUAUUUUUGGUUGGGGCGACCGCGGAGUAAAAAGAAACCUCCGUGAGGAAUGAGGUAAUUAACCUUAAAUCCCAGAACGACAAUUCAAAGAAGCAAAAUUUUUGACCUAAAGAUCCGGCAAAGCCGAUCAACGAACCUAGUUACCCCAGGGAUAACAGCGCAAUCCCCUUCAAGAGUCCCUAUCGACAAGGGGGUUUACGACCUCGAUGUUGGAUCAGGAUAUCCUAAUGGUGUAGCCGCUAUUAAGGGUUCGUUUGUUCAACGAUUAAAAUCCU
rnacentral:rRNA from 1 species